AUUGAACGCUGGCGGCAUGCCUUACACAUGCAAGUCGAACGGCAGCACGGGUGCUUGCACCUGGUGGCGAGUGGCGAACGGGUGAGUAAUAUAUCGGAACGUACCUUAUUGUGGGGGAUAACGCAGCGAAAGCUGUGCUAAUACCGCAUAAUCCCUAAGGGGGAAAGCGGGGGACCGUAAGGCCUCGCGCGAUUAGAGCGGCCGAUACCUGAUUAGCUAGUUGGUGAGGUAAAGGCUCACCAAGGCAACGAUCAGUAGCUGGUCUGAGAGGACGAUCAGCCACACUGGGACUGAGACACGGCCCAGACUCCUACGGGAGGCAGCAGUGGGGAAUUUUGGACAAUGGGGGCAACCCUGAUCCAGCAAUGCCGCGUGAGUGAAGAAGGCCUUCGGGUUGUAAAGCUCUUUUGUCAGGGAAGAAACAGCAGCUCUAACACAGUAUGCGAAUGACGGUACCUGAAGAAUAAGCACCGGCUAACUACGUGCCAGCCGCCGCGGUAA
rnacentral:rRNA from 1 species